rnacentral:rRNA from 1 species
AUUGAACGCUGGCGGCAGGCUUAACACAUGCAAGUCGAGCGGAGGAAGGUAGCUUGCUACCGGACCUAGCGGCGGACGGGUGAGUAAUGCUUAGGAAUCUGCCUAUUAGUGGGGGACAACAUCUCGAAAGGGAUGCUAAUACCGCAUACGUCCUACGGGAGAAAGCAGGGGAUCUUCGGACCUUGCGCUAAUAGAUGAGCCUAAGUCGGAUUAGCUAGUUGGUGGGGUAAAGGCCUACCGAGGCGACGAUCUGUAGCGGGUCUGAGAGGAUGAUCCGCCACACUGGGACUGAGACACGGCCCAGACUCCUACGGGAGGCAGCAGUGGGGAAUAUUGGACAAUGGGGGGAACCCUGAUCCAGCCAUGCCGCGUGUGUGAAGAAGGCCUUAUGGUUGUAAAGCACUUUAAGCGAGGAGGAGGCUACUCUAGUUAAUACCUAGGGAUAGUGGACGUUACUCGCAGAAUAAGCACCGGCUAACUCUGUGCCAGCCGCCGCAGUAA